rnacentral:ncRNA from 1 species
GAGUAAUGCAAACGUUGGUGAGAAUCCAAUGUCUCGAAAACCCAAGGGUUCCUCCGCAAGGUUCGUCCACAGAGGGUGAGUCAGGGCCUAAGAUCAAGCCGAAAGGCAUAGUCGAUGGACAACAGGUGAAUAUUCAUGUACUACCCUUUGUUGGUCCGGAGGGACGGAGGAGGCUAGGUUAUCCGAAAAAAGGUUAUCGGUUCAAGGACGCAUGGUGCCCAUACUUUUUCAGGGCAAGAAGGGGUAGAGAAGAUGCCUCGAGCCAAACUUCGGGUACCAGGCCCAUACCAUACUCCUAGGAAAAACUCGAAUGACCUUCAAUAAAUGGGUACCUGUACCCGAAAUCGGCACAGGUAUUGAUUUGAAAAAUCUUAAAUGAUGUAAGCAUUGGUGAUUGAUAUACAUUGUAUGUGAAUGAUACAUAUUGUAUGUGAUUGAUGAAA